rnacentral:rRNA from 1 species
CCUACGGGGGGCAGCAGUGAGGAAUAUUGGUCAAUGGACGAGAGUCUGAACCAGCCAAGUAGCGUGAAGGAUGACUGCCCUAUGGGUUGUAAACUUCUUUUAUAAAGGAAUAAAACGAGGCACGCGUGCCUUUUUGCAUGUACUUUAUGAAUAAGGAUCGGCUAACUCCGUGCCAGCAGCCGCGGUAAUACGGAGGAUCCGAGCGUUAUCCGGAUUUAUUGGGUUUAAAGGGAGCGUAGAUGGGUUGUUAAGUCAGUUGUGAAAGUUUGCGGCUCAACCGUAAAAUUGCAAUUGAUACUGGCAGUCGUGAGUACAGUUGAGGUAGGCGGAAUUCGUGGUGUAGCGGUGAAAUGCUUAGAUAUCACGAAGAACCCCGAUUGCGAAGGCAGCUUACUAAACUGUGACUGACAUUGAUGCUCGAAAGUGUGGGUAUCAAACAGGAUUAGAUACCCCAGUAGUC